rnacentral:rRNA from 1 species
UACGUAGGGUGCAAGCGUUGUCCGGAAUUAUUGGGCGUAAAGAGCUCGUAGGCGGUUUGUCGCGUCUGCUGUGAAAUCCCAGGGCUUAACCCUGGGCCUGCAGUGGGUACGGGCAAACUAGAGUGCGGUAGGGGAGAUCGGAAUUCCUGGUGUAGCGGUGAAAUGCGCAGAUAUCAGGAAGAACACCCGUGGCUAAGGCGGUUCUCUAGUACGGUACUGACGCUGAGACGCGAAAGCGUGGGGAGCGAACAGG